rnacentral:rRNA from 1 species
GACGGACCGUACGAACGUUAUUCGGAAUUACUGGGCUUAAAGGGUGCGUAGGCGGCUCAGAAAGUUGAAUGUGAAAGCCCUCGGCUUAACCGAGGAAUUGCAUCCAAAACUACUGGGCUUGAGUGAGACAGAGGUGAGCGGAACUCACGGUGGAGCGGUGAAAUGCGUUGAUAUCGUGAGGAACACCGGUGGCGAAAGCGGCUCACUGGGUCUUUGCUGACGCUGAGGCACGAAAGCCAGGGGAGCAAACGGGG